GGUGGGCACUGACCAAUCUGGUGUCUUCUGCAAGCGCUGCCGUCCUCAGCUGCAAGUCCUAAGGACGGUGUGUUUUGGUCAAGAAGAAGAGUGUCUGUCUCUUGGAUUUGAAAAUGGCAGGUGUGGCAGACACGGCGUUAAGGAAACAGCUGGAAUUAUCGCCUCCCUCUUCCCAAACAUUAUAGCACUGUGCAGACCCAGGCCUUUCCUCUUGUGCUUAGUGCACCGGGAAGAAUGAAGAAGUACAACAGAGAAGCGGGGACAUGUGGACACUGACGCUUCAGCGGGCCAGGCCGCUUGGGAGGCGAGGUUUUGGGGCUCUGGGACCAACAGCGGCAGGAGCAGACCCUGGGCGUCCUGGGCCAGCCCUCCCCUCGGGGUGAAGGGGAGCUCCCAUGACUUUUCCUGCAGACGUGGCUUGGAGCUUUCAGUCUCUAAAUGCUUGGGUGGCAGGGGAGUGUGGGAGCUGGGCCAGCAGAAUCUAAAUAAAUCCCCCACGAACCGUAAUGGGAACCUCGUCACUGAGUGUCUGACAGCUGUAGAAGUUAAAACAUAGAAGGACUGGUAACGGAGGUGACCUUUCAGACGUGACGUGGCUCACCACAGCCUGCAUGGCGGGUGUCCCGAGGAACUCAGAGAGGCCCGGUGGCCUGCCUGGGCCCCCCACACGAGGCCGAGACUGAGGGCUGGCUGCCCACCGGCAUUGCUGGGAACUCAUCCGUCUGCCACCUGGCUUCUGUCCCAAAAAUGGCCUUUGAGAGCCGUGCAGGGGACAGUCUGAGCACCCCGUUCACGGGUCGGCACAUCGCGGUGUUGGCCCUCCUCUGGCAGCAGGAGUAGAGGGCACAGUAGGGGGCACGCCCCGUCCUCUGGCAGUGCCACUGUGUCUGGGGAAGGCGGGGGCUCGGUGCUCCACUGCUGACACUGUGUGUACACGUGUGUAUGUGGCGCUUUUGAUUAAACACUCACGUGUGUGUCUGUGGUGAUACGUCAAGAGCUCAGGCAUG